UGUUCAUUAGUGGGAAGAGCAGGACAGGAAAGAGAGCUGUGACCGCCAACGGCAGGGCUUCCGUGCACCAAAACAAUGCCAUCACUAUGAUCACGUAGCCACAUUGGGCCUCCUGGCAGAGGAAGAGUACACACAGUCAGAACAGACUGUACAUCUCACGUAGGCUUGGAGAAGGCAACAGCCCGUAAUUAUAUUCAUUGCCUGAUAAAGGGAUUUGAGAAAAGGCUAUUUUCUGUGUUCCCCUCCCGUCUGGCCUCCCACCUGUGCAGAUCCUAAUCAACUGACAAACUAUUCAACAACCUUGUCAGAACAGUGAGGAAAAGACUGGGGCGUGCGAUGGGGACAAACAAGAAACUUAGGAGAAGAAACAAAUGGGUGACUUUGAACCCUUCAUGAUAAGGAAGCGGCUGUCUCUGCACAGACUUCUUGAUUUUGCUGAUGGUGGUAUUUUCUUUUGAUAUAUUUCUGUGUUUAAUUUGCAGAAAUAGUUACUGACUAUUACUGUCAGGGUUUCUCCACCCCUUUUUCUGCACGUUUCAGAACAUGGCCUAGAUGAACCACAGCUAAUUUCAACAGCCUGGAUUCCUUGUACUCUUGUUACAGAAUUUGAACGGCUCACUGACAAACCGGUCACAGCUUCCACUGCCUUUGACUUGCUUCGUUGAAGAAGCUGACUACAUAGAAACCAGAGAGAGACAUUCAGAGAAACCAGAGGAACUCAACCAAGACUGCCAAAUCAUUCCACAGGUUGGCCUCCAGCUGCAGCCUGGCCUACGGGGUGUGAGUGACAACGCAGAAGGGCCUCAGCUGACGAAUCGUGCCUGUUCUUCAGAACCAGCACAUCUACAGGGUUUGUUUCCACUGCUACGUGAGUCCUGCUGCUUUCAAAGAUGGGACCCAAGCGCAAGCCCCGCCGCUCGGAAGGUGAUGGGAACACGGAGCUGAGCCCUUCCCCGGUUCACGGGGGGACAUCACGACAACCAGCCCCAAAUCCCCCCGGUUCCCCCCGUCCUGCUGCCGCCUCCGGGGGCGGGGCGGGGCCGGCGGGCGAGGGCAGCCCGUCCCGGGCGGAGCGCUCGGCUCCUCCGCCCCCCGUC